AAAGUCAUCUUUCCAAAGAGAUUUGAUUUGAAACUCUUAUAUGUCUAAGCUCAAUAUGAAUAUUCUUCCAAAGGUUUUCCCUUACUUUGUCUAUGUCAACAAACUAUUCAAAAUACCUUGACUUUUUUAGAACAAGUCCAGAGUCAAACAACAAUGAUUUGA
rnacentral:rRNA from 1 species